AGCCUCCACCGUAUACACCCAAACCACCGGUUGUGAAGCCUCCGCCAUAUACACCCAAACCGCCGGUUGUGAAGCCUCCGCCAUAUACACCCAAACCGCCGGUUGUGAAGCCUCCGCCAUAUACACCCAAACCGCCGGUUGUGAAGCCUCCGCCAUAUGCACCCAAACCGCCGGUUGUGAAGCCUCCGCCAUAUGCACCCAAACCGCCGGUUGUGAAGCCUCCGCCAUAUGCACCCAAACCGCCGGUUGUGAAGCCUCCACCAUAUACACCCAAGCCACCUUACUAUCCAAUACCGCCGGUCAUAUCACCACCAACACUGCCUCCAAAGCCACCAGUCUACCCCAGUCCACCAAUAGUGAACCCUCCACCAUAUACACCCAAACCGCCGGUUGUGAAGCCUCCGCCAUAUACACCCAAGCCACCUUACUAUCCAAUACCGCCGGUCAUAUCACCACCAACACUGCCUCCAAAGCCACCAGUCUACCCCAGUCCACCAAUAGUGAACCCACCAACACCGCCGAUUCUGCCACCUCCUAUUGUGAAUCCACCAACACCGCCGAUUCUACCACCACCAUCACCACCUAUUGUGAACCCACCAACGCCUCCUAUCGUGAAGCCACCUUCACCGGGAACACCGUGUCCUCCACCACCACCUCCGGCACAACAAACAUGCCCCAUAGACACUCUCAAGCUAGGUGCAUGUGUGGACGUGUUGGGUGGCUUAGUACACAUCGGCAUAGGUAGCAGCGCCAAAGACACUUG
rnacentral:lncRNA from 1 species